rnacentral:rRNA from 1 species
UACGUAGGGUGCAAGCGUUAAUCGGAAUUACUGGGCGUAAAGCGUGCGCAGGCGGUUUUGUAAGUCUGACGUGAAAUCCCCCGGGCUUAACCUGGGAAUUGCGUUGGAGACUGCAAGGCUGGAGUCUGGCAGAGGGGGGGUAGAAUUCCACGUGUAGCAGUGAAAUGCGUAGAGAUGUGGAGGAACACCGAUGGCGAAGGCAGCCCCCUGGGUCAAGACUGACGCUCAUGCACGAA